rnacentral:rRNA from 1 species
AUUGAACGCUGGCGGCAUGCUUUACACAUGCAAGUCGAACGGGGUGAGGGGGCAACUCCUCAUUCAGUGGCGAACGGGUGAGUAAUGCAUCGGAACGUGUCCCGUAGUGGGGGAUAACGCCGGGGAACCGGCGCUAAUACCGCAUAUGCUCUACGGAGGAAAGUGGGGGACCGCAAGGCCUCACGCUAUGGGAGCGGCCGAUGUCCGAUUAGCUUGUUGGCGGGGUAAAGGCCCACCAAGGCGACGAUCGGUAGCUGGUCUGAGAGGAUGAUCAGCCACACUGGGACUGAGACACGGCCCAGACUCCUACGGGAGGCAGCAGUGGGGAAUUUUGGACAAUGGGGGCAACCCUGAUCCAGCCAUGCCGCGUGCGGGAAGAAGGCCUUCGGGUUGUAAACCGCUUUUAGCCGGAAAGAAAAGGCACGCCCUAAUACGGCGUGUUCUUGACGGUACCGGCGGAAUAAGCACCGGCUAACUACGUGCCAGCAGCCGCGGUAACAC